UCCAGUGCGCCCCACAGAUUUUCCUCAAGUGUUAUCACAGAGUGUGAGGGAGGCUCUGCUGAAAAAACCAAAGUGAAGUUCUCUUCUUUUCAGCUUGUCUGGGCUUGUCGAGCCAUCGUUAAUAAUUCACACUGGGAACAAGAGGUCCAUAAAGGUUUGGAAUGAUACAGAAGAGAGAGGAGCUUGUUAGGUAUGUGGGAGGAGACUGAAUAUUCCACUUUUUCCGGACUCCUCAGACUCUUUCUGUGCUGGAGGAUUGUUUUCAGAUUAACCACGAAGCUGAAUGAGGAAAAAGAAAAAGGAGAUGCCGUUUUAUGGCAGCGGCGCAUGUUAUGAAGGGAUGCAAGUUCUACAUGUGGGCAGUGAUGCAGCGUUUGGCAAACCUGACAACAACGAGGAGAUUCCAGCUGGGAUCUUUUGGAGAAUAAAGGUGAUGCUUCGCAGACAAGACACACAACCUUUCUGAGGAAGACUGAAGUCAUCAUUCAAGUCAUGUCAAGGAAAAUAAAAAGCGUCAUCCAAGUGAUGGAUUUCGUUUUGUUUAAGCAUUGCUCAAUUCAAUUCAGCUUAUGUAUAAAGUGCUGCUUCACAACUGAGGUCUCUAAGUUUUAUUCACAAAAAGCAAAAAAAAAAAAA